rnacentral:rRNA from 1 species
UGGGGAAUCUUGCGCAAUGGGCGAAAGCCUGACGCAGCGACGCCGCGUGAGUGAUGAAGGCCCUCGGGUUGUAAAGCUCUGUGGGGUGAGAAGAAUAAGUCGUGGCUAAUAUCCACGAUGAUGACGGUAUCACCUUAGCAAGCACCGGCUAACUCUGUGCCAGCAGCCGCGGUAAGACAGAGGGUGCAAACGUUGUUCGGAAUUACUGGGGCGUAAAGCGUGUGUAGGCGGUCUUACAAGUCAGGUGUGAAAGCCCCGGGCUCAACCCGGGAAGUGCACUUGAUACUGUUUGACUUGAGUACUGGAGAGGUUGGUGGGAUUCUCGGUGUAGAGGUGAAAUUCGUAGAUAUCGAGAGGAACACCGGUGGCGAAGGCGGCCAACUGGACAGAUACUGACGCUGAGACACGAAAGCGUGGGGAGCAAACAGGAUUAGAUACCCUGGUAGUCCACGCCGUAAACGAUGGGUGCUAGGUGUCUCGGGCUUUGACUCCUGAGGUGCCGUA